rnacentral:rRNA from 1 species
AAACCUCCCACCCUUGUGUAUUAUUACUUUGUUGCUUUGGCGAGCUGCCUUCGGGCCUUGUAUGCUCGCCAGAGAAUACCAAAACUCUUUUUAUUAAUGUCGUCUGAGUACUAUAUAAUAGUUAAAACUUUCAACAACGGAUCUCUUGGUUCUGGCAUCGAUGAAGAACGCAGCGAAAUGCGAUAAGUAAUGUGAAUUGCAGAAUUCAGUGAAUCAUCGAAUCUUUGAACGCACAUUGCGCCCCUUGGUAUUCCGGGGGGCAUGCCUGUUCGAGCGUCAUUUCAACCCUCAAGCUUAGCUUGGUAUUGAGUCUAUGUCAGUAAUGGCAGGCUCUAAAAUCAGUGGCGGCGCCGCUGGGUCCUGAACGUAGUAAUAUCUCUCGUUACAGGUUCUCGGUGUGCUUCUGCCAAAACCCAAAUUUUUCUAUGGUUGACCUCGGAUCAGGUAGGGAUACCCGCUGAACUUAAGCAUAUCAAUAGCCGGGAGGAAAA